rnacentral:tRNA from 1 species
GGAAGGUUGUCUGAGCUGGCCGAAGGAGCACGCCUGGAAAGUGUGUAGGCGUCACAAGCGUCUCAAGGGUUCGAAUCCCUUACCUUCCG